rnacentral:rRNA from 1 species
ACGGGUGAGUAACGCGUAUCCAACCUGCCCACCACUUGGGGAUAACCUUGCGAAAGUAAGACUAAUACCCAAUGAUAUCCCACGAAGGCAUCGGAAUGGGAUUAAAGAUUUAUCGGUGAUGGAUGGGGAUGCGUCUGAUUAGCUUGUUGGCGGGGUUAACGGCCCCACCAAGGCAACGAUCAGUAGGGGUUCUGAGAGGAAGGUCCCCCACAUUGGAACUGAGACACGGUCCAAACUCCUACGGGAGGCAGCAGUGAGGAAUAUUGGUCAAUGGGCGAGAGCCUGAACCAGCCAAGUAGCGUGCAGGAUGACGGCCCUAUGGGUUGUAAACCUCUUUGUCGGGAGUAACGUGCGGGACGGGUCCCGUAUUGAGAGUACCCGAAGAAAAGCAUCGGCUAACUCCGUG